rnacentral:tRNA from 1 species
GGAUGUGUGGCAGAGUGGUUGAUUGCAACGGUCUUGAAAACCGUCAUACCAGCAAUGGUAUCACAGGUUCGAAUCCUGUCACAUCCGCCA